GGGGAUUUAGCUCAGCGGCAUAAGCGCCUGCCUUGUAAACAGGCAGUGAGUUCGAUCCCCA
rnacentral:tRNA from 1 species